rnacentral:rRNA from 1 species
GACGAACGCUGGCGGCGUGCCUAAUACAUGCAAGUCGAACGCAGUGGGGACGGGUGAGUAACACGUGGGUAACCUCCCAUCAGAGGGGAUAACACUUGGAAACAGGUGCUAAACCGAUACUGAUGGAUGGACCCGCGGUGCAUUAGCUAGUUGGUGAGGUAACGGCUCACCAAGGCCAAGAUGCAUAGGCGAACUUAGAGGGUGAUUGGCCACAAUGGGAAUGAGACAAGGGCCAGACUCCUACGGGAGGCAGGAGUAGGGAAUCUUCCGCAAUUGGCGAAAGUCCUAACGAGCAAAGCCGGGGGAGUGAAGAAGGGUUUCGGAUCGUAAAACACUGUUGGUAGAGAAGCGGUAUCUAACCAGAAAGCCACGGCUAACUACGUGCCAGCAGCCGCGGUAAUUC